CUCUCCUGGACCUGGACCCUUCCAACUACACCUUUUCUACUUUCUCUGAAAUGAUAGGCAACGACUUAUAGGCUUCAACUGAAUAUAGCUUCAGCCUCAGAAGACGUAAUGAAAAAUAACACAUGAUGAAAUCCUGUCUUGUCAAAGACCAUAUUUGUUACCUUCCCUUCCUCUGAUUGCCCCCAGACCAAAUGUAGCUCAACCUUGAGCUGCAAGAGGACAUCAUGAGAAUUGAGACUUGCUAACUGAAUUGUGAUGGGUGGUGUGAGAAGGUGUUCUUCUGCAUUGAGGGUUCUGCUUGCAUCAUUCCAUUUGACUUUUGUUUCCCUGGAACUUGGGGCUUUGUUGCCAGCAGCGAAGUCUGCUGACUGAAAACUGUCACAACAGCGAUCAUCGCAAUCCGGGAGUUGAGUUUGACUGGAACAUAUGUCUUCAAUUUUGAUAGCUCAGCUUCCCAGAUGCCCUAGAGGAGAAUAUUGCCUGAGAAGGAGCUUUUCAUAGACUUGACAGGGUCCAUUCCCAACUUGGAGACUUUGCCUGACAGAAAAAUAUGCAACAGAACAAAUAUUCAAAAUAAAAUCUAACUGAUUUGCCAUUUCCUCCACGUCAAGUGAAGUCAUACACAUUCUGAAUCAGAGUCUCUUUUGUUGUGGUUAAAUUGAUUCUUGAACACAAACCGUUUGAAAACAUGCAAUGAAAAAAAAAGGAGAAUAAAGAAAAACCAAAGCAUCAAAUUAUCCAUGGCUAAAACUUUUUGAAUUUAGCGCAUAAUCAAAGCAACCAUAAAUGGCAGUGUUGCCAACAUUCAGUGAUGGCCAAAGGACUUUGCUUCUUUUCCCUCUUUUUACCACUGACUUCCAAUAUCGUAACAUUUUGAAAAUCCUUUAGAGAUUUGAAUCUCUUUGUAUUCUCUCUCCCAUCUUGAUCUCACAGGUGUGGGGCAGAAACCAAGAAUAAUGGCUCCCAACUUGUUUUUUAACUGCUUGUAAAGGACCUUUGACUAAAUGGCAAAGCCACUCUUCUUUUUUAUGUGGACAAAUCCAUGUCCACAAAACCUUGAUUUUUCGUGUGAUUACAGUGAAGCUCUUCCUCCUUUUUAAACACAUGGUGGACCUAUUCCUUAUCCUGACAUAUCAUCCAGCUUUGUUUCUGUUUUCCCCUCUGGGGAAGAUAAUGUGGUUUACAUUCUUUUAGAAGUCUUGGACACCAAGAAUGUUGAGGUCAGCCCAACUGGGGAAGUGAAGGAAAGAAUGUCAGUUAACCCAAUGGUGAAACCUCAGGAGUGUGCUUUGUAAAGACCAUUUUCUCCCUGUUUUUCUUUUUACCUCUUUGUAUAUUAACCACAAAUAACCACCAGCCUUUAAAUCAGCUUCACAAGAAGCCACCAACAAAUGUUUAAAGCAUCUCAACAAUGUUUCCAAGAAAGUC